UACGUAGGGACCAAGCGUUGUCCGGAAUCAUUGGGCGUAAAGAGCGUGUAGGCGGCUUGUUAAGUCUUGCGUGAAAUCUCGGGGCUCAACCCCGAGCGGUCGUGAGAAACUGGCAGGCUAGAGUGCGGGAGAGGAGAGUGGAAUUCCUGGUGUAGCGGUGAAAUGCGCAGAUAUCAGGAAGAACACCCGUGGCGAAGGCGGCUCUCUGGGACGGUACUGACGCUGAGACGCGAAAGCGUGGGGAGCGAACAGG
rnacentral:rRNA from 1 species